rnacentral:rRNA from 1 species
UUUNACAUACGGAGAGGCANCUUUNCCCGGGGAGGUAGUGAUUCCGCUUUCCCAGCGUGUACGAUGAAGGCCUUCCGCUUGUAAAGCUCUUUUGUUAGGNAAGAACAACCUCCGGCUAAUCUCCUGGCGCCNUGACGGUACCACAAGAAAAAGCCCCGGCUAACUACGUGCCAGCAGCCGCGGUAAUACGUAGGGGGCAAGCGUUAAUCGGAAUUACUGGGCGUAAAGCGCGCGCAGGCGGUUGUUUAAGACUGAGGUGAAAUCCCCGGGCUCAACCUGGGAAGUGCAUUUGAGACUGCGGGACUUGAGUGCGGCAGAGGGGACUGGAAUUCCUGGUGUAGCAGUGAAAUGCGUAGAUAUUUGGAGGAACACCCCUGGCGGAAGGCGGCUACCUGGGCCUGCACUGACGCUGAUGCACGAAAGCGUGGGGGAGCAAACAGGAUUAGAUACCCUGGUAGUCCACGCCCUAAACGAUGUCAACUGGUUGUUGGGGGGUUUNUUUCCCNCAANNCANCNGCUAACGCGUUANUNACCCCCCCUGGGGGAAUACNGUCCCNAUAUUGAANCUCAAGGGGAUUUGANGGG